rnacentral:lncRNA from 1 species
UUACCUUUAGUUUUCUCAUUUCGAUCUUACAUAUAUUAUUUAUUUAUGAUUAAUAUUAGUUAUAGGAACUCACUUUUCCAAAAAAAAGGAUAUUCAAUUAACAUGAUACAUAACAAAUAAAAAACUGUCAAUUCUUCUCACUCCAUUUAUCCACCAUUUGUUUUCAAAUUGAUGGAGAUAUAUUAUCUGGUGGGUGAUUGUAGCGCUCCUUAG